rnacentral:rRNA from 1 species
AUUGAACGCUGGCGGCAGGCCUAACACAUGCAAGUCGAGCGGGGUUUUCGGACCUAGCGGCGGACGGGUGAGUAAUGCGUAGGAAGCUACCCGAUAGAGGGGGAUACCAGUUGGAAACGACUGUUAAUACCGCAUAAUGUCUACGGACCAAAGUGUGGGACCUUCGGGCCACAUGCUAUCGGAUGCGCCUACGUGGGAUUAGCUAGUUGGUGAGGUAAUGGUUCACCAAGGCGACGAUCCCUAGCUGGUUUGAGAGGAUGAUCAGCCACACUGGAACUGAGACACGGUCCAGACGCCUACGGGAGGCAGCAGUGGGGAAUAUUGGACAAUGGGCGCAGGCCUGAUCCAGCCAUGCCGCGUGUGUGAAGAAGGCCUUCGGGUUGUAAAGCACUUUCAGUAGGGAGGAAGCGUUGUGUGUUAAUAGUACACAGCGUUGACGUUACCUACAGAAGAAGCACCGGCUAACUCUGUGCCAGCCGCCGCGGUAAAAC